AGUAGCGCAAGACGGGUGAGAAUCCCGUCCACCGAAUAACUAAGGUUUCCUGGGGAAGGCUCGUCCUCCCAGGGUUAGUCGGGACCUAAGCUGAGGCCGAUAGGCGUAGGCGAUGGACAACAGGUUGAUAUUCCUGUACCAGUUGCUUUUGUUUGAGCGAUGGAGGGACGCAGGAGGCUAAGGAAUGCACACGAUCGGAAAUGUGUGUCCAAGCAGCAAGUCUGAGAACGAGUGAAAUGCUUUUUCUCUCAAGGACAAGCUGUGAUGGGGAGCGAAAUUUAGUAGCGAAGUUCCUGAUGUCACACUGCCAAGAAAAGCUUCUAGUGAGAAAGUAACUGCCCGUACCGCAAACCGACACAGGUAGUUGAGGAGAGAAUCCUAAGGUGUGCGAGAGAACUCUCGUUAAGGAACUCGGCAAAAUGACCCCGUAACUUCGGGAGAAGGGGUGCUGACCGCAAGGUCAGCCGCAGUGAAUAGGCCCAAGCGACUGUUUAUCAAAAACACAGGUCUCUGCAAAAUCGAAAGAUGACGUAUAGGGGCUGACGCCUGCCCGGUGCUGGAAGGUUAAGAGGAGAGGUUAGCGCAAGCGAAGCUUUGAAUUGAAGCCCCAGUAAACGGCGGCCGUAACAAUAACGGUCCUAAGGUAGCGAAAUUCCUUGUCGGGUAAGUUCCGACCCGCACGAAAGGCGUAACGAUUUGGGCACUGUCUCAACGAGAGACUCGGUGAAAUUAUAGUACCAGUGAAGAUGCUGGUUACCCGCGACAGGACGGAAAGACCCCAUGGAGCUUUACUGCAGUUUGAUAUUGCGUGUUUGUAUCACAUGUACAGGAUAGGUAGGAGCCGAAGAUACCGGGACGCCAGUCUCGGAGGAGGCAACGGUGGGAACUACCCUUGUGAUAUGACCACUCUAACCCGCUGCUCUUAGCGAGCAGGGAGACGGUGUCAGACGGGCAGUUUGACUGGGGCGGUCGCCUCCAAAAGUGUAACGAAGGCGCCCAAAGGUUCCCUCAGAAUGGUUGGAAAUCAUUCGUAGAGUGUAAAGGCAGAAGGGAGCUUGACUGCGAGACCUACAAGUCGAGCAGGGACGAAAGUCGGGCUUAGUGAUCCGGUGGUUCCGCAUGGAAGGGCCAUCGCUCAACGGAUAAAAGCUACCCUGGGGAUAACAGGCUUAUCUCCCCCAAGAGUUCACAUCGACGGGGAGGUUUGGCACCUCGAUGUCGGCUCAUCGCAUCCUGGGGCUGUAGUCGGUCCCAAGGGUUGGGCUGUUCGCCCAUUAAAGCGGUACGCGAGCUGGGUUCAGAACGUCGUGAGACAGUUCGGUCCCUAUCCGACGCGGGCGUUGGAAAUUUGAGAGGAGCUGUCCUUAGUACGAGAGGACCGGGAUGGACACACCGCUGGUGUACCAGUUGUUCUGCCAAGAGCAUCGCUGGGUAGCUAUGUGUGGACGGGAUAAACGCUGAAAGCAUCUAAGCGUGAAGCCCCCCUCAAGAUGAGAUUUCCCAUCACUUUAAGUGAGUAAGACCCCUGAGAGAUGAUCAGGUAGAUAGGUUGGGAGUGGAAGUACAGCGAUGUAUGGAGCGGAUCAAUACUAAUCGGUC
rnacentral:rRNA from 1 species